rnacentral:rRNA from 1 species
CCUUCGGGUACAAUUGAGACAGGUGGUGCAUGGUUGUCGUCAGCUCGUGUCGUGAGAUGUUGGGUUAAGUCCCGCAACGAGCGCAACCCUUGUGUUUUAGUUGCAAACAGGUCAAGCUGUGCACUCUAGACAGACUGCCGUGGCAACACGGAGGAAGGUGGGGAUGACGUCAAAUCAUCAUGCCCCUUAUGAUCUGGGCUACACACGUGCUACAAUGGCCGGUACAACGGGCAGCGAAGGAGCGAUCCGGAGCGAAUCCUAAAAAGCCGGUCCCAGUUCGGAUUGCAGGCUGAAACUCGCCUACAUGAAGUUGGAGUUGCUAGUAAUCGCGAAUCAGAAUGUCGCGGUGAAUGCGUUCCCGGGUCUU